rnacentral:lncRNA from 1 species
GAAGAAAAGGAUGAUGACAAUGACCAGGCUCAAGUGACCAGAAACAAAAGGUGCUACUUUUUAUGUUGCCCAUCUACCUAAGCAGCCACCUAAGUUACUUCCCGUGCCAGCAAGACCAAAUAAACACGAAAAUAAGAGGAGUUCUUUGGUGUACACUCAUGCUACUCUGAAUAAUUGCUGCAGAAUGAAGUGGCAAGCAUAGAAGAAAUGUAGAGCCAGUUUCCCUCGGAUGCAGUGUAUUACACUGAGUCUGAGGAUACACAACAGUCUAUUGAGGUUGGUUAUUGCAAUUAAAAGGUUUCUAUAGAUCUUAAUUCUUUAUGCUUGGCUUGUCUUACUGCAUGCUCUUAGUUACAAGUUAUGUUGGUUAAUAUUGAUCAUUUCGUGAAUUAGAUCCGGUAACAACCAACAAAAUUAGUUCCUGUUGCUAUGACCUGGGCAAUGAACAACAGAUGCAGUUUGCCUCAUUUCUAAUGUUCC